AAAAAUGUAAAUUCAGUAAAUGUAAAUUCGACACUAAAAUGCUGUAUUUUUAUACAAAAACCCUGAGUUGAGGCUGUUGGUUGAUUUUGCCGAACAAUUGUUUGAAAAUCGUGUCAUUUUUCACACAGCCAAAUAACUAUAGCAAGCACGAUUUCAGUCCCACAGUAAACGGGUGCAGGCGCGUGCACGAGGAGGCCUCGCUGUCUGAGCGGCUGCGGUUACUGACAACGCUCUGGCUCCCAUCCUGACCUACUGCACAACCUCAGUCAAAAACUGUGACAUUCAGUUCCACCAAAAAACAAAAGACUUCAAAACCGCACAAUGGGCCUCAUUUAAUCACGCUCUGCUCCCGUUCAGGGUCACCACAACAGUUCACCCAUCUGCAUAUUUGGAUUCUGGCACAAGUUUUUUGCCAGAUGCCCUUCCUGACGCAACCCUCCCCAUUUUCCGGGCUUGGGACCAGCACUGAGAUUGCACUGGCUUGUGCAACCCUCCAGUGGCUGCGGUUGGCUACCCACUAGUUCACCAGGGAACCUUGAACUUCUGGAUUAUGAUAGAACACAACUCCACUUGAGCUCACUGAUCAGACCAGGCUGAGAGCUAUCACAGUGGGGCAAAAUAGUUUAAUGAGCACACUUCAUCUUGCCACCUCUAUGUACAAGACCUCCUGCCUGCUACACCCAUAAAUAAUGGGAACGCAAAUGCUACAUUAGCCGCUGUUACUAGCUACUAUCUUCGAUUCACUUGUAAACCAGUGUGAAUCUUGACUUGACCCUUGACCACUCUACAUUUUUUAAAAAUCCAGAUUUAUAAUAUAGGAGUAAUGUAAGAUUUGAAGAUAAUCCUUUAUUCAUCCCCAAUUGGGAAAUUUGAUUUGUUACAGCAGCAGAUAUAAAGAUAUAAAAAAAAAUUAAAAAAUAUAUAAGUAUAAAAAUAUGAAAGAGAGACACACCAAGAAUGCACAAAAACACAAACACACAACAGUAUUAAAUUGACCAAACUGCAUUAUUGCACUGUUCCCAUGAGACGGGGGGUUACCAAAGAUUUAUUGUCCAAUUUAGUACCAGGGAUUUAUUGUCCAGUUAAGUGGUGGGGUCUGCUGGGAGCGGUGCUGGUUGUACAGUCUCACAGCAGCAGGGAAGAAGGACCUGCGAUACCACUCCUUCACACACUUGGGGUGGAGCAGCCUGUCACUAAAGGAGCUGCCCAGUGCCACCAGAGUCUCAUGCAUGGGGUGGGAGUCUUUCUCCAGCAUAUGUGAUAGCUUGGCCAUCAUCCUCCUUACUCCAGUUUACAACAGUGUGCAAGUAUGUGGUUUGAAUCAUAACACUGUUUAGUGGAGGUAGAUGGACGGGGAAAUUUGUCCAUUUUUAUUGCUUGAACUACACUAGUGCAUCAUGUCAGGAUAGUAAAAUAACACUAAAAUAACACAAACUCCAUUACUUUAAAUGCGGCUUGUCUGAAUGUGACUCCCAGUAACAUUUCAAAAUAUUAACACACAAAAUCUGUCUUUGAUAUUUCUAAUAUAAAUUAUUUUAAGUUAUUGAAUGAAACAAAGAAGAGACUGCGAGUUUCUCUUGCAACCCCAUUUGUAAUUCAAGCAACCCUAUGUGAGGUUGCUAACCCUACUUUGGGAACCUCUGGUCUAACCUUUCAAACUCAUCUGUAAUUUGCUUUAUGUAUUUAUUGUCACAAAGUUUGCUUUGUUACAGACAUUGUACAUCCCUGCAUAUGAUGUGGUGAUAUAAAUGUAAAAGAUACAUAGAUGUCAAAUCUUUGAAAACACUAUACGAUAUGGGACAUUCUUAAUGGUUGAUGUACUGUAUAUAUUUUGGUACCUGUAAUGCCUUCACUUGUUCCUUUGAUUUCGUCUUGGGGUUCAUUUGAACCUUUCAGACCAAAGUUCAUCACUGGGAGUUAGGUUGUGCAUCUGUCCUGAACAAUGCAAUGUCUGUGUGGUCCCAAGAUUUUUUUAUAUUUGCAUAGAAUUGUUCGUACAAAUGCUUGUGGUACCUUCAGUUUGGAAAUUGCUCCUAAGGAGGAACCUGACUUGUGGAGGUCUACAGUCUUUUUCUGAGGUAUUGGAUGCGUUGCUUGUAUUUUUCCAUGGUAUUGAGGGCAGUAAGGCACUGUCUCUAAAGGUAUACAUUUUACAGCCACAGGUGUGCUCCCAAUUUACUCCUAAUUACGACCAGUGGCCAAUCAGAAACUUCUAAAUGUCAUGACAUCAAUUUCUGGAAUCUUCCAGGCUGUUUAAAGAGACAGUCAGCUUGAUGUCUGUAAAAUUUUGACCUACUGGAAUUCUGAAAAUGUGAAUUAAAGUUGAAAUAAAUUUGUCUCUAAUUGAUUGUUUUUAAAUUACUUUUGGCGUGAACAAAGUAGAGGCCCUAAUUGACUUGUCAAAAGAAAUUGUGAAAAAUGACAUAGAAUAUCUUUAGCCAAGGUGUAUGUAAACCUUUUGCUGCAUCUGUACGUGAGAUACCAUUUCAUACAGUUGUAAUUGCAUACAAUUGUAUGUCAAUGCAAUAUAAUAAAGUUUUGUAACAAUGAUAUCCCAGCAUUUUAAAAAAAUUAUAUUGAGGCUUUAAAUUUAUAUUGGCAUCAAAUACUUUACUAUUACUCACUAUUGUAAUCAGUUCUUCAUUUCUGUCCACAAAGAAUAGAAAGUUGUUUUUUAGCCCAUUUGGACGAGUUGUGGAUUCUAUGUCUACCAUUCCUAUUCGAGGGGGUAUGGCUUCUAUCUCUGUCAAUCUUAUAGGAGGAGGGGUGAUUGCUGUGGCUUCUGUACCUUUCAGUCUUAUUAGAGAAGGUGUGGCUUCUGUGUCUAUCACUCCUUCUGGAGAAGGUAUGACAUCUAGGUGUCUAUCACUUCUAUUGGAGGAGGUAUAUCUUCUGUCUAUCAGUUUAUUGUAGGAGGGGUGGCUUCUGUUAAGGUUAAUUUACCUUAACCUGGUCCAGCUUCCUGGGCCAACAGUAGAGGUCUGGUUGGAUCUUUGUCUUUGUUUAAUGCCCUGGGUAAUAUCUGUUUGACAGGUUUAUUUGGGUAUAUUCUGAUUGCUCAGUUCUCCCUAUGUAAGGUUUUAUGCAUGUUUUAAAAUCUGCUGUCUAGCAGUCUUGGCCCAGCAGUGGGGUAGUAUUCUGCCAGGAGUAGACAUCUUGCUACUACUUAUUGGCCUUUAAUCUAUGAUAAAGUAUAGUGUCUGUUGUUAUCACAUUUAUAUGUGUAAUAUAUCCUUUAUAUGAUGACUUUAUGUUAAACAGAUUUUUAUUUCAUUUUCCUUCUACUUGUUCAUGGUUAGCAUUUUUUAAUUUAUUAUUUUUAGAGACAAUUACCUAGCAUUAAAUUAUUGGUAGGAUUAGGAUUUCACUAAGUUUAUUGUUUGUCUAGGAUUAGGUUUCAUGUUUGAAAUUAUUAUGUGUCUAAAAUUAAGCAAGUGUGGCUUCUGUGUGUAUCAGUCCUAUUGGAGGAUGUGUGUUUGCUCUGUUUAUCAGUCCUGUUGGAGGUGGCAUGGUUUCUCUGUUAGUCAGUCUCUACUGGAGGAGGCCUGGCUUCUGUGCCUAUCAGUACUAUUGGAGGAGGUGUGGCUUCUGUGUCUACCAUUCCUAUUGGAGUGCGUGUGGCUUCUAUGUAUGUCAUUCUUAUUGGUGAAAGCAUGGCUUCUGUGUCCAUCAGUUCUAUUGGAGGAUAUUAUCCCAAAAUGUCAAUUUCGCAACCCGUGGAACACAGUGGACCUUGUGUACCCAAACACACAUGGCUCAUAUGCUCCACCUCGGCUGCUCAGGCCAGUAUUGUGGGCCGUGUACAUCUGCUGUGUCAGGGUUAGAUAAAAAAAAUUGCUGCAAUCGUUGGUGAAACUUCCCUGAAAGGAAUAAUCCCUAAUGGAGACACCGGAAGUGUAAUUGCUUCAACCACAGACGAGACCAUCUCAAGAUCCAUAGUAUUUGUCAUGUCCUCUUCAACAAACCCUGCUGGCUUGGUGAUCUUCAGCAUCCAUUCCCUCCAAACUGUGGGUCUUUUUUGGAUGGGAAAUAGCUCUCAAACUCCGCUGAGAGUGCACACAGGUCCAAUCCCUGGAGCAGGUCCACAGGUCCAAUCCCCGGAGCAGCAAUUUCCAAACAACUGAAGGUACCACAAGCAUCUAUACAAGCAAUUGUAUGCAAAUAUAAAAAUCUUGGGACCACACAGAUACUGCAUCAUUUAGGAAUGAGGCAUCCCCAGGGAUGAAGGAACUUAUGAAUGGCAUCAUUAAAUAUAACAUCAUGGCUCCCUUUGUACUUGUGUUAUACCUUCUUUAAAGGUCUCUUUCCUCCAGCAUUUAGCACAAAAGCAAAAAGGCAUGUUAACCAGCAGAGGGAGCUGGAUCUCUGUAUAUCACUCACUCACUUUCAUUAACCAUUUUCCUGGUCAGGGUCAUGGUGGAUCCUGGAUGGGAGGCCACUUCACACACACUCAUUCAUUCACACGUAUAGGAGCAAGUUAUCCACCUACUAUCAUGUUUUUGGGAGGUGGGAAGAAACUGAGAUACGAAAACAUAUGUGGACACAGAGAGAAUGUGUACAGAAACUCCGCACAGACAGUUACUCUAGUUCAGAAUUGAAUAGGGGACCUUACUCUCUGUGCCACUGCAAAGAAUGUCUCUGUAUAUUCAUUAAUCUACUUAUUGUCAGGGUUGCAGUUAAUUUAGAGCCUAUCUUUUGUAGGAAUACACCCUGGAUGGGAUGCCAGUCCAUCACAGGGCACCAUGCAUGUUGGGAAGUGGAAGGAAACUUGAGAAAACACACAAAUAUUAUCCCAAAACCAGGUGUAAAUUAUCUUGAUGUAUGCCACUUUGCUGUUAUAAUAACCUCCACUCUUCUGGGUAGACUUUCCACUGUAUUUUGGAGCAUGGCAUUGGGGAUUUGCCCAUUCAGCCACAAGAGCCUUAGUGAGGUCAGGCACUGAUGUCAUGCAAGUGCCAGUUCAUCCCAAAGGUGCUCACUGGGACUGGUCGGGGCUCUGUGCAGGACACUCGAGUUCUUCCAUACCAAUCUUGGCAAACCAAGUCUUUAUGGACCUCGCUUUUUGAACAGGGGCAUUAUCAUGCUGGAACAGUUUGGGGCCCUUUAGUUCCAGUAGAAUGAAAUUUUAAUGUUACAGCAUACAAACACAUUCUAGACAAUUGUGUGCUGCCAACUUUGUGGCAAAAUUUUGGGGAAGGCUCAUGUAUGGGUGUGAUGAUCAGGUGUCCACAUAUAGUGUACAUUUACUUGUAAUCAAUGUAUAUGUAUAUGUUUACUUUUAAAAUCUUGGCAAAAAAAGUUACUAAAAGGUUUUUUUGUUUGUUUUUAAAUUCAGUCCUAAGCCCUUUAAGUUCUAAUGAAAGCUCCUUCAUUUCCACUAAUUUAUUUGGAAUUACAAUUAAACUUGUGUACACGUAAAUGUGAAAUGAACAGUGACUCUUUUUUUGUCAGUUUGGAAGUAGAUGAAAUUGAUUAAUUGGAAUUACAACAGGGCUACUGACUUGGCCACUGACUAUGAAUGAAUAAAACAUACUGAAGUAGGUGCAUAUGUAUAGCAUAUCUGCAUUCUUUUGUAUUUUUUUUUUUUAUUUUACAUGACUGCAGCUGCUUUUCAGAGAAGAGUCAGAGAGUGCAGGAGGAAAAGCACAUCGCUCCAUCUGAACAAACAUAGCUAGAGUAGUGAGGUGCGUCUGGAAUGUCAUGUCUGCUCUGUAUGUUGACUCACACCACAGGCCCUCUUUCACCACUGGGAGAACAUGCUCAGCCUGCUGGCUAAAACAACACUGAAUUCUGGGAAACAUUGGCCUUUUUAGCCUCAACAUCUGUCAGCUUGUGAAGCUUAAAUGUCCUGCUUCUCAAGGGCACACUUCUAGAAAAAAGCCAUAACUGAUAAGAAGUGUUAAUGAUAUGUAAUUUCUCAUUAGCUCGCUUAACAUUUGACUCUGUAACCAUAUCUUGUUCCAGAAUAUGUAAUUUAGGGGUUUCACAGCAAAGGGGAUGAAUACUUAUGCGGUCAAAAAGAUUUAUAUUCAUGUAUAUUUGACAUAUAAUCCCAAUAAUUGAGAUUGGUCAGUUGUCAGGUUAUACCACUACUGUGUACAUGUGCUAAGAUUGACCAAAAAGUUCAAGUAGUGACAUGUUUCAGUAUUCACAAUAAAUGCCACCAUUAUAUAUGGAUAAUUCCCUAUAACCUUCUUUGACACAGGUUCUGAAUAACAAGGAACCAUGGCAGUUAUCCAAGCUUUAUAGAACCACAGUUACACAUCACUAGCAUUUAAACCCAGAGGUGGCAUGUAAGACCACAGUGUACCAACAAUUUCAUGAACAACAGUUCAGGAUUGCCAUGAAACCUACUCAGAGAUAUUCACCACGCAAACAGCACUGGGAGGGAAGAUGUUAACCUUGUAAAAUCUGGAGAAUGUGCAUGGCUACAUCCAGGUAUUUGUAACAUAGAUGUCCUGGAGUUGUAUAAAUGAGGAGAAGACUCUUAUAGAGUGUCAGUAGGGGCUAGGCAUCUACAUCUACAGGCUAAUGUCACUGCAGAGUCAUGGCAUGCCAGGCAAGCAUAUCUCCAGAGCAUGCCUGUAAUUCUUUUAGCUGAAAUAAUUACUAGCAAGAAGGGAGCUUUCAAAGACACCCACUUCACACAUAGCCUAAUAAGGAAGAUCUUUUGGGCACUUUGUUACAAGGGGGAUGCUCCUUGCCACACAUGUAAGUCCUGCAGACAUCAAACAGCGCAGGGGUGUAAUUCCAUGAUGUGAGCUAAUAAAAGCCAGGCUUAUUUGAAAUAGCCUCGCUUGAUUUAGUAUAUCAGGUCAAUCCAGGCUCACUGCAUUCCAUCAAAGAAAUUCAGGUGCAGCCUAUUUCUGCUAAUUCAUUCAAGCUCAUACAUGUGCACACAGUGUGCAAGCAGCCCUAGCAGUCAAGUGAAGAUACACCAUAUGGCCAAAAGUUUGUGGACACCAGACCAUCAUUUUUUGAACAUCCCACUCCGGGCCUACGUUUUUGCAGCAGCACACUCUUUAGGCUGAGGCCCUUGGGCUAGAUUUGACUUUCUGGCAAGAUUCAAAUCUUCCAGCAAAAUGUACCAUGUCAUGACUGGUAUCACAGAUGCCUCUCCUCUCCUUCUAAAAGACUUCCUAGAGACUUCUAUAGCAUGGUUAUUACUGGCUACCCACUCAGGCAAUCUAUCCCAAGGGUAGAAUAAAGGGUUGUUUGUGUGGAGGGAAUACCCAGUCCAAAAUAAAUGUUGGGGGAGUACCAUUCUAUGACGCAGGCAAAGCCUUAUGUGGAAAUGGAGCCCCUAGCCAAGAGUUAUACAAAUAUUGCUUGUAAUAUAUGAAAAAAUUCUCUUACCAAGGUAGCAAGAAAAGAGAGGAGGCUGUUUGCAGUUUUGGAGGACAGAACACAUGUAACUCUGAGUGUGAUUUAAUCACAUAGCUCCAUGCUGUUAAUAUAGUCCAACCUGUGCAGAAGUGAGAAGGAAAAAGGCAAUGAUUCAUGCAUGAUGCUGGUAUUUAUGGUGAAUACAUCCAUUCAUGCAGCAUUAUGCAAACUUGUGGGUAGAUAUCAGCCUGCACACAUUACCAGAUAUACAAAGAUGUUAUCCAAGUGUUACACACCAUGGUUGUAAGGAGGGGUGAAACUGAAACACUAUUAGACACUACAGACUAAUCCAUGCCUACCUUGUUUCAGCUCAAACUACUCUAACCUGUCAUGGUCCCUCAGGACUGUAGCAGCUUGUUGAAUGCUCUGUUUUUGUUACUGUAAGGUAAAGGUAGGCUUGUGAGAUCUUGUGCAACGUGCCAUUGUUCCCCCUUAACUAUUGCCGAUUGACGAUAGUAUCGGCUGUGGCAUUGAGGGGGGAAAGAAGGGGGCAUGGUCAGACAUACACAACGUGUGCUGUGUACACGUUACAUCAUCACAGCGGAAAAAUAAUGGAAGCUGGUUACAAGUUGGCUGUAGCUGCAAUCUCUAGCACUAAUGUUUAGUUAAGCGUAGGGAAGCUAAGAUGCAUCAGACAAAGAUAUUUUGUUGCUGUGCUCCAAGGCAGACAGCAGGUUCUUAAGGUAAAAAGGAAAUAGGCAAAAAGGAAACAUAUUUGUCAGGAUACACACUGAGCGAAAGGGUAAGUUAAUCCAAACAACCUAUAUUUUUCACAACAGCGGGUGCAAAAACAAGUAGGUAGGUAAAUGCAGGUUGUGCAGUCGAUGGAUGAUGAAAUGAUAAGAAUAAAGUCCUUAUCUUAUGGAUGCUGGCUUGAGAGUAGACCAUUGAUGCACACACCUCAGUCUUACGGUGGAGUAUGGAUAGCAGGUGAAUAUUGCUGGGGAAAACAACACACUUGGAGGAACACGAGGGAAAAUCACAGGUAAGUUCACUGGAGAUAAUUCACAGGCACCGCCGAUCAAGUGGUAGCAGUAAAGGGUCUGUUUCCUAGUUCAAGACCAGACAAGUGACUGAACUGAGGUGUGUGCUUUUAUAUGGUGCUUGAUGAGAUGUGCUGAUGAGUGACAGGUGGCCAUGAUCAGAUUGUGAUCGUUGAGUGGUGGUGGUGAGAGAGCCUGGUGAACCCGUGACGAUAUUACAAGAUAUAACACAAUUUAUUUUUGUCUAUCCUCAAGCUGCAGACAUCACAUUUUCCAUAGACAUUUAAAUUGUCUUUAACUUGUUAGCCAUCACGAUAGUUGGAAUCUAGUGGUGAUUCCCAAUACUAUUGUCAAAUGUCCCAAGCCUAAGACUGUUUUUAAUCCCACUUCUGUCCUCUCAUAAAGGAAUUUCAACUGAUGGGGCCCACUCUAGCAAUUAUUUUUGCUUGUACCAGCUCACAAUAUUUUCUGGGUUUUUCCCCCCAUUUUCAUACCAGUUUGGUCUUGCCAAUUCUCACUCACUAGAUAACUUUUCCCUAUCACAUGACAUUUACCAACUAGGGAGGGAGGAGCAAGCAAGUGCAGCUUCACAGCGCAGUGAGAACCAGUCUCAAUUUCACUAUGGAAACAGUUAUUUCCUGAUAGCCUAAUGUGCAGAAAAAAAAAACUUGAAUUUCAUGACUAUCCAAUCAGAAGUGACAACUGUUUCUUGGCUACCCUCAGAGCUGCUGAAGAGGAAAGUAUUAUCUGCCCUGUUCUGCAUGCAUGAGCUCACAGACACCCAUGAUUGGCCAGUGUUACAGGGGAGAGAUAUCAGUGCCAUCCCUUCCCAUUUCCACAUAAGGCUUUACUGUCUUGUUGAAUCACUGGGAUUCAAACUCGCAAUCCCCUGACAAUAGGCAAACACGUUUCUGAUGGACCACUCAGGUGCCACAGUGUCUUCUGAUUAACUUGGUUGGUUGUGUAUACCAAAAUAUAAAAAAUAAAUAAUUUAAACCACAGUGACCAUGACCAUAUCUAGCCAAGCUCCCACCCACAAGAGAUUACAAACUCACCCUCAAAUGGCAAUAACUGGCUAUGAGGACAUCGAAGUCUGGACCUCUGUAGUUUCUCCAGUCGUCAAUUUCAAAAUGGAAAAAGUGAUGUUCUGAUAACGUGGUGGCAAAAUGUAGCUAGUGCAAAAAAAUGUGCAAAAAAAAAAAACAUUCUAUGAUUAUCCGAUCAGAAUACUUGUUCUCAGCUGCCCUCAGAGGACACUUUAGGUUUGCCCAUACACUUAAAGUGCUUUCACAUCUAUUAGUCCAUCAUACAGGGCAGCUUGGUCCACACCAUAAGAGAGAAUACAGAAGCUGUUCUUAAUAAAUCAUUAAAUAAUUCAAUGAAUAACUAGUUUAAACAUUUAGUUUAUUACACCCAGUGUUUAUUUUCUCUUUUUGUUCAAUGGGCCCAAUAUCCAGAACACAUGGUAUUCUUGCAGAGCUACAGCAGGUCACAGGUCAACAAAAAAUGCUGCAACCCAAAAUACAUGGCAUGUUUGGUUCACUUCCUGUAAUCAGGCUGAGUCAAAGUCAAAUCACUUUCUCACUGCAAUAACUCACUAGAGUUCACUUAGAACUGGAACAAGACCACCUCGCUCAGACAUUCUUGGAUAGGUUUUUUUGGUCCACACCAAGAGUGCAGCUGCUGUGUUCUCCCUUCCACAAAUGGAUUAGAAGUAAACGCUGCAUAUGUAAAAACACCAUUAAUCACCCAUUAUUUUUAGCUCUCAAUAGACUGUUUGCUGCCAGACUUAAACUUCUUGUUGAAAGCUAUGCAAAACACAUAUUAUAGGCUAACAUUGGACAUAGAUAUGAUAUAAAUGUAUAAGCAAUUGUGAGAACAUUUAAUUGUGAGUGUUUAUGAGGGCUGUUGGCAUCUUCAGACAGCUCCUAAGAAUGCAAGAUAUUUAUCUCCUCAAAAUGAGCUCAUACUCAUCUGAGAAUGAACAACCACCUGUUCUUCACUGCCACCAGGUGAGGUCCACCCUGUGCUAAACUGACAUCACCAAAGCAGGUGGUCCAGACAGGGUCUCAGCUUGCGGACUGAAAGAGUACACUGACCAAAUAACAGAGGUCUUUACCAACAUAUUCAAUCUCUCAGUACAGGAAGUUUCUGUCUACACCUGCCUCAAAACUAGCACCAUCAACCCUGUUCCCAAGAAGUCAGCAGUGCAAUACUGGAAUGACUACCACCCAGUUGCCCUGACUCCCAUAACCAUGAAGUGCUUUAAGAGACUAAUAAUGGAGCACACCAACACCGUCCUCCCCCUAUUCUCAACCAACACGAUUUUGCAUGCCAAACAAACAGAUUUUUGGAGGACACAAUCUCUAUUGCACUUCACACAGCCCUCACACACCUGGAACAACAAAACACAUAUGUGAGGAUGUUUGUUGAUUUCAACACAAUAGUCCCCCACAAACUGGUCAACAAACUCUGCAACCUUGGCCUGAGAACCCCACUCUGCUCAUGGAUUAUGGACUUCUUAACCAACAGGCCCCAAAACUUGAUGAUUGGAAACUGCACAUCCCCCACACUCAUCCUGAACACAGGAGUGCUGCAAGAGUGUGUCCUCAGCCCUGAUCUCUUCUCCCAGUUUACACACAACUACACCCUAAAACACUCCUCCAGCACAAUAGUCAGGUUUGCAAAUGACACCACUGUUGUGGGUCUGAUUUCAGACAACAACGAGACGGCCGACAGGAGAUGAGGUGCAAAACCUCAGAGAACAACCUAGUCUCAACACCACUAAAACCAAAUAGAUCAUAGCAGACUUCAUGACCAGAAGAUCCACACACUGCCCACCACAUACAGGGAGACAAGGAGGAAAGAGAGGAAAGACGAAGAUCUGAUAUGGUAUCUCAACACCUCCCACCUAGGGAAAAGACCCCAAGUGAGACUAUUCCUGCUCAGGUGUCUCGUACCAAAUCAGUGCAAAAACACAGUCCUAAUGAUACACCCAGAUUUGCACAGUGUCUCCUACUUGAAGUCCCACAGUGUUGUAUGUGUAUCUGUAAAAAUGCAAUUUUUUUUAUUUGUUUUUUUUGGGGUUUUUUUUGCACUGUUUUUCUGUUAUAUCUGUCAUAUAUUUGUGAUAUCUAUUGCAUCCCUUGACGCUGGUCUGCAUAAUUGUAAUGCAAAUGAAAAAUUGUUAGUGUUUUAUGUGUUCUCCCUCUUUAUGGGGCCUUCAUCAUCCUAACAAAUUCUCAGUGGUCCUCUGAACAGGGGUAGUGGUGGCGCGUUAAAAAAAAAAACGUAGGCAGGCAACUACAUCUUUUUGAACAGUUGCAUUUGAAAAGAUGAGUCACAGGACAGUGUAACACACUUGGAGGAAAGCACUAUCCUCUUCCACAUACAUGAGCUCAUAAAUGCCCAUGAUUGGCUUGUCACUGUGUUUGACAUGGGAGAAAGAGUAAGUCACCUUCCCACUCUGAGAGCAUGGCCAAUUCUGCUCUCUUGGACUCCCACACAAGUAGUCUUGCUGGAAGCUGCAUUUGUUCAUUUAACUUGUUAGCAUGUUUGAAGUGUACUAAAAUUCAUCUCAAGGCUUGAUUAGAAAUUGUGUAGCUGAAUAUUGUGAAAAGCUGAGUCUAUAUUUGAAUUGUAAAUUUCUAAUAGGAUUCAAUCAUUAAUACAAUACAGGAGACUAAUCUAACACAUGGAAGUUCAUUAUUGGUAAUCAUCUUGUAGCCCUUCAUCAGUGUUGAGAAUUGCCCAGCAGCCAACUAAUAUUGUCGUCCUGUGGUGAUCCUCUUUCUAUUUAUGGUAAGAUGGUAGCAAACAUCUUAACAGAUGGCUACAGUCAUACAGGCAUAAGGUAAUUGUACAACUACAAAAUGGCCUAUAUAAGAGGUUUCCAUGAUAAAAUUGAAAUGUAAUGUAUGUGUAUGGUUAGUAUGCAUAACUAAUAAACUGGCAACUUGAUUUAUUUGACCUUAAAUUUUUUAAAGACCUCUAUGGAACACUUUAAAUAGUACCAGAGGCCCCCAUUUUCAUGGUCGUAGCACAAGCACAAAAAGAGCAUCAGAUUACAGUGUUAUAUUUGCAGACAAGUUGUACAGUGUUGGACCACCAUGAGCAACCAGAGCAGCUUUAAGAAGGGAGACAUGUCCUGUAGCACAUAGCUCUAUAUAAAGGAAUGCUGAUAAGUGUCCUAUAUUUAGACAUGAGUAUUAUUUCUGGAAUGUGUUGUGGCUUAUGCUUCAUCCUGUACUGAUAUUACUUGAUGAGUGUUCUACAACCUUAGAAAAAAGGCAGAAGAGAAAAAGAGUUGUGGAAUUUUUCUAUGACAACUUCCUCUAAUGAGUCACCACACUCCACUGAAGCAUAUCACUUUGAAACAGAGGUCAGAGGAGCCAAUAAUUCCUUUAUAUCAUUUUCAAGAGGCAGAGCAUUUUAUAGAAUAAGGACAAAUCUUUCACAGCAUGAUGCAGAUAACACACUGUAUUCAAAUGCCCUGCCGAUUUUUGUCAAUUACAUGUGGAUCUGGCAAUAUUGUCACAAAUGUUUAAAGCUCAAAUCCCUUAAACUUGUGACUUCUAGAAUACUUGUGUGAGUGUCCAAAGAUCAUUUGGUUAAACCAUCUGAAAAGAUCUUUUCAGUAUUAAAUUAUUUUGGACACAUUGGUGUAUGUGGAAAUGAGUUUUUUAUUAUUUAUUUUUUAAAUUGAUCUGCAGAUUAAGACUCAAUUUUAUUAGUAGCAAAUUAGUGGAAUGUAGAAGGGAACCUUCCUCUACUGAGUCACAGCUCUCAGUAUUAGCACAAACACUGUUUACAAACAGGGAGAAAGCAAGAAAAGUACUGACAUGAAGCACAGGAAUACCUGGCUCAAGGAAAGUUCGAUAGGACACAAAAAGUCAAGGGCAGAUGAUGUGUGUACAAUGUAAACAUAGGCUCCACCUCCACAUGAUUGCCAACACUAAACAGUUCCACUCCUCUUGUGCAUGCCAUGUCUUGCUAUGUCCUUGGCCUGGCCCCAAGUACAAAUAAUGGAUCCAUCUCAUAUUCUCAAAAUAACAUUUGCACAGUGAAAUACUCACUCAUUUACUUCCAUUAACCACAUUAUCCUGGGCAUCAUGCACACACAGACACACACACACAUAUUCAUUCACACCUACGGGCAAUCCACCUAAUCUUAUGUUUUUGGGAGGUGGGAGGAAACCAGAGAACCCAGAGGAAACGCAUGCAGACAUAGGGGGAACAUGCUCAGAAACUCCAAACAGUCACCCAAGCUUAGGAUCAAACUCGCUGCACCUUUGUGCAGCCCAUACUAAAAUCAUUUUUAAAAAGGGUUAGUUAACUCUAGAAUUAUUGGUAGGCAAAUAAUGGACAAAAAUAACCCACAGCAUUUCAAAUCUCAAAAUGUCCUGACAAGGAUAGGAAUAUCUGUCAGUUUUUUUCCCACAAAUACUGCAACUAAAAUAGCCAAAAGGUUUCCAUUUGGUUAUUGAGAUUAAAGUUAGGGUUAGAUUUAGGUUCAUAGCCUUAAUUAGCUGCAAAGGUCCUUAAAAGGGAAGGAAGACAAACGUGUGAGUGUUAGUAGGUGUGUGUACUGAUCUGUGGCUCAGCUAUAGGGACCCUUGGGUCAAGGAUACAUAUCACUUAAAAUAUCACGUUUGGUAGUAAAGGGCUGCCUGCAUUUUACAUUUUGAUCUAUAGCAUAUGAACAGCAUUAAUAGAUCAACCCACUUAGAUUUUUAGAUAAUCUAUUAUUUUAAUUUCUUUCUACUGUAGACUGUUCAUUUCAACGACACCAAAUUUGGUAUGUAACAGCUAUAGACAAGGCUCUAAGAAUUCAUUUCUCAUCAACUGGAUCUAAAUCCCAGCAAGACUAAGCUACUGUAUAACUCUGAAGAUACAUCCUCAUGUCAAAAUCUUGUGAUAUCCCUGGACAACUCAGUUCUCACUUCUGACACUGCACGUAAACUUGAGGUGCUUGUUCACUCCUGGCAGAUCUGCCCCUGCAUGCCAGCCAACCCUUGCUACUGAUCCAGAAUACAGCUGUAAUACUUUUUCAGUCUUCCCAAGUUCUCAACACCCAACACCCAAUUGCAGCAUUCCCUACACUGGAUCCCUGUAGCUGCCUGCAUCAGAUAUAAAACACUAAUGCUUGCCUACAGGUACCCCAUUUUCCCUCAGGGAAGACAUGCAUGGAAGACUGUACUUUCCCUGGCUGUCCAAACAGCUGAGUCACUCUCUGUCUUCAAAUGGAGACUAAAGACCUCUGCCUUAUUUAAUCUAUUUUAAGAAUUUUUUGACUGAUGUGUUUUUCAUACUGAACUAAUCUCCCCGUAACACUGGUGUCGUACAUCACUUUGUGACUUUGUUGGGAGCUCUUGGCAUGUGUGUACACGCUCGAGGUGAUUCUCACUGCCCCUGUCAGUUAAGAGUCUACUCGGCACUUUUUCCUCAUUUUGCUAUUUCAUCUCUCUCUCUCUGAGCUUUUGCUUUCAUGGAGAUUUGUGGGCGUUACUAAAUGCAAUUGAGCUGUGUCAGGAACAUGCUUGCACUUUACGAGUGACUGCCUUUCAUCAACAUACACAUGCAAGUAUGCAGAAAAUCAGCAUUUCUGAAACUUCUGUAAGUUUAGUGGAAAUUUUCAAUUUACUUUGGUUUAAUUUACAUAAUACAUUAUUAAAAGAUUGAUAAAUGAGGCCUAGUGUUUGCACUAGGUAAAAUAGCUUACCUGAAACUCAAUAAGUAUUUUUAACAACAAGCACCAAAGGUAGCAAAGCUCAUGCCAUGUGAUUUGCAAAGGAGAGUUGAAGGUCAUACUGUCACAGUAACAGUAACACAUACAGUCAUGGGAAAAAGAAAGUAUAUCCUCCUUCAAUUUAGUUUUUAUA